UACGUAGGAGGCAAGCGUUGUCCGGAAUACUGGGCGUAAAGCGUGCGCAGGCGGUUAUGUAAGACAGUUGUGAAAGUCCCCGGGCUCAACCCGUGGGAACUGGCAUCUGUGACUGCAUAGCUAGAGUACGGUAGAGGGGGAUGGAAUUCCGCGUGUAGCAGUGAAAUGCGUAGAUAUGCGGAGGAACACCGAUGGCGAAGGCAAUCCCCUGGACCUGUACUGACGCUCAUGCACGAAAGCGUGGGGAGCAAACAGG
rnacentral:rRNA from 1 species